rnacentral:snRNA from 1 species
GUGCUAGUUCAGCAGCACACAUACUAAAACUGGAAUUAUACAGAGAAGAUUAGCAUGGCCUCUGAACUAGGAUAACACACAAAACUGUGAAGCAUCCCAAAUAAAA